rnacentral:lncRNA from 1 species
UAACGUUUUAAUUAUCCAAAUUAAUUUAAAACCCAAUUCACCCCCCCCCCCUCUUGGGUUGUCUAUCUGGGCAACACAAUAGAUUAUUAUAUUAUAUGAAUAAUGCUGAACUAACAAAUAACAUUCCAAAAUUUUGGAUCGGGACCUCUAAUAAUAUUUAGGACUCAUUUCAUUUGUGAAAAUAAUUUUUUUCUCACCAAAAUAUUUUUUAUAGAAAGAUAAUUUCUGAGAAUAUAAUGUCUAAAAAAAUAAUUUUGGUAUAUUUGGUUGAUCAUGAAAAGUCGUAUAUUUAAGAGUAGCUUAUGAUUAAUUGGGUAUCUAAUUUUCUAGAAAAGUUGAAUAAAAUAUUUAUUAUAUUGUUAAUAAAGAAAAGAACUUAUCAAUGAGUUUGAAAGGCUUAAAAAAGAGUUUUAGAAAAAAAAUCUACAUUUCCAACUAGUAAGAAAGUAGUUUUCCUAUGUUUCUCAUAGAUUUUUUAAUAAAUAUGAAAAUUUUAUUUUAAUAAAAAUGUUACUUUUCCAUCUCUUUCUUUUGAAAACUCCAACAAACAAGAAGUGUUUAUUUAUUUUUUUAUUGACCAUACAUUUUUUCCUUCUAUUCCCACUAACCAAAGAAGUCCUUAGCAACGAGAGAUUGUCGAUUAUUAUUAUUAUUAUUAUUAUUUUGAAUGCAUUUAUAAAAAUCUAGGUACUUAUUUAGAGGUGCAUCUUUAGUCAAGGGGCUCGCCACUGUACUUACUAUUAUAGCCCUACACCCCUAAGUUCAUUUGGUAUGUUUUAUUUUGGCUUUCCCUUUUCUAGGGACAAAAAAAAAGAAAAAACACCUCCAGCGUGGAGUGCUUGCUUCAAAGGUUUUAGUGAAGAAAAAAUAAAAAUUGCUUGCAAAACUGAAAAGCUAUUUCAAAAGUACUAACCUUGUCUUUUAUUCUUAAAACAGAUGCUUCCUACUGCGCUCUGUUCGGUUGUGGGAAGACAAGAAAAGAAAAAUAGCAAUUCUUAUUUCUCAGCAUUCCUUCAAAUUCUUUUUAUUCAUGGACUAACUCAAAAAUUUGUUUUGUAGCAACAAGUACCAUUCCUUAUAAUGAUUGUCAAAUAGUUAGCGAUGUUGUUUACAAGGGCGGCCCAAUACAUUUGGGGGCCUAAGGCGAAUCCAAUAAAUGAGGCCUUUUUUUUAAUAAUAAAUUUUUUAAUAAAUAUAAAAUACUUAAAAAAUGAUAUGAAAAUAGAUAGCUGUUAAGUACACUAUUUCAAUGAAGAUGCAUAAA